GUUAAAGUAACGUGAAAGAUAAAGCUAAGUGUUUGGAUGACAAUGAUUUCUAUAGAUUUAAGAAUAGAUAUCACAUAGAUAGGCACUCAAAAUUUAGGACGAAAUGCUAUUAGAAACUAACAUGUUUUCACUAAGAUCACUUCAGAUGAAACUUUGACCAUUGCCACUAAUUUAAAUGUCUCUAAUGAUCGUAUUUUUAUCAAGAAGGAAAAAAUACAUUAGUCAUCGUUAGAAAAAUAUUUCAGAUUACAGAGAGAGUAGAUAUUUCCAGUCAUGUUAUUAUUUUUCACAUGGGAUGACAGUGGGUGACAGCAACAUUUACUACACAAAACCACAAAUCAGAUAUAGAAAUCUUACAUAUUUCCACCCAAGAAGUUG
rnacentral:misc_RNA from 1 species